rnacentral:rRNA from 1 species
UAGGGAAUUGUUCGCAAUGGGCGCAAGCCUGACGACGCAACGCCGCGUGGAGGAUGAAGACCUUCGGGUCGUAAACUCCUUUCGACCGAGAUGAAUACGCGCCGACCUAAUACGUCGGCGCGCUGACAGUAUCGAGGGAAGCAGCCCCGGCUAACUCCGUGCCAGCAGCCGCGGUAAUACGGGGGGGGCAAGCGUUGUUCGGAAUUACUGGGCGUAAAGGGUUCGUAGGUGGCCAACUAAGUCAGACGUGAAAUCCCUCGGCUCAACCGGGGAACUGCGUCUGAUACUGGUUGGCUUGAGUGCAGGAGAGGAACGCGGAAUUCCAGGUGUAGCGGUGAAAUGCGUAGAUAUCUGGAGGAACACCGGUGGCGAAGGCGGCGUUCUGGACUGCAACUGACACUGAGGAACGAAAGCCAGGGGAGCAGACGGG